rnacentral:rRNA from 1 species
UACGUAGGGACCAAGCGUUGUUCGGAUUUACUGGGCGUAAAGGGCGCGUAGGCGGCAAUUCAAGUCAGCUGUGAAAUCUCCGGGCUUAACUCGGAACGGUCAGCUGAUACUGCUUUGCUAGAGUGCAGAAGGGGCAAUCGGAAUUCUUGGUGUAGCGGUGAAAUGCGUAGAUAUCAGGAAGAACACCAACGGCGAAGGCAGCUCGCUGGGACGGUACUGACGCUGAGAAGCGAAAGCAUGGGGAGCAAACAGG